UUCCAAAUGGAACCCAGACCUACUGGGACAGUACAGAGCAGGAUAUGUGGAAGAUAACAUCUGAAACCUUUCUUAAAUCCAAGCAAAAGCAAACACAACCAUCUCUACAGACUCACAGAAAAUUGUGGUAAGAAGAUGAAUGAAGGAAACCUCUUGCCUGACAGUAUUUAAUACCAAAUUAUUAUUAUAUACUGUUUAACUGGUGCUGGAUGAAGGAUGUGCGGGGACUUGCAGCAACCUUACCAAAAAUAUUUUAUUUUGUUCUGACAGCUCCCAAGGAAGUGAAAAGUGGACUGGCAUGUACUUGUUGACACCUUGCAUAAAUAUUUGCUGCAAAGGAGGUUAGACUGACCUGGAUGACUGCAUUUACGCAAUAAUAGUGUGUUCUGGAGGAAAAUUAAGAAAGCAUAUGCUUAUGGCCUGGAAUACCUAAAGUGCUACCCAAAAAUGAGGGAAGGAGCUGUGAUACAUACCAUGAGCACUGAGUCUCGAGUGGAACUGUAUGUGCAAUUAAUUGCCAAUGGACACAGAAUGGCCUAUUAGGAAGGGCACUGGAGUGUACUUCAGGAGACCUAGUAGCUAUUCUCCCAGGAAUCUGUGUUUCCAAACCAAAUCAUGUGUACUCACAAAUGAACAAACUUAGUUGCACAAUAUGAGCCUUCUCUGAACAUCGGUAUGAACAAAAUGUAAUUUAUCCAAAUGUUUGUGAAAUGGUGGUAUUAGGAAGCACAGAACAGUUCAGAGAAGCAGGUGAGUCUGUGGGAAAGAAUGACCUUGAAAAAACUAACCGUGUUUCUAAGGACAAACUUGGUGAUUAUGUUCCUGACUGAUUUCCUUUCAUCACUUACAUGCAAGAGUGAUUUCCAAAUGCAGCUGGACAAAGAUCACAAGCCUAGUUUCCUCUCUGUUAGUCACA